rnacentral:tRNA from 1 species
AAAGUUAUAGUUAAUUAUAACAUUUAAUUUGCAAUUAAAAAGUCCUUAAAUUAAAGGUUUCUUUG